GGCUUUUUUUAGAGCGCGUUUUUUAAGUACAUGCGGUCCACCCAAAAGGUCUACCGAGCCAGACCUGACGAACUUCUCUUAACUUUUUAGGGAAAUCAUUUUUAUAUAGUUUCAAUUUACAUGUUUACUUAAGUUGAAUUUUGCAAUUUUUUAUUUUAGAACGUUGUUAUAAAAUGAAGAGUUGUAAAGUAAAAAUCUUAUUUUUACUUUAUAGGUUAUAUUUAAUUUUAUUAAUUUAAUUAUUAUAGAUUAGCAAAAAAGAAAAAUGAACGUUAACCACGGAGAUGAAACUGAAGUUGACAAUGAUGGGGAAGAUGAAAUUUAUCAUAAGCGACCUGAUAAAGACAAAGCACUAAAGAAAUACAGAAAAUUGAAACUUAGACUAGGUAUAAAUUAUUUUAUAAUUUUACCAAUUGAUAAUUUAUAUA